GAAAAGGCUUCUGGAAAUUGAGGAGACUAUUAAUCUGGAUUGACCUUGUAAAGAACUGUGUGUUGUUGAAGACUGUUUUCUCCAAAUCCUCCAAAAUGUCCAUGAUCAUCAAGAGGCUGGGGAGAGGAGUGUGGAUUCAGGAACCUGAGGUAUCCAACACCCACGUUCUGGGGAACCUUGACCUAACCAAGCUAUGACCUCUUUCUUCAUAACAAAAUAAUUUCCUCCAUGUGUAUUAAAGUAUACAAAUUAUGUACUGAAAGAGGAUGGAGGCUAUUCCUAUCAACAAAUCAAAUUACCCAGCAGGGCUACCUUUCUUAUAAGUAUCUUUCUGUAUCCUGGAGCUCAUUUAUCUUACUGUGGUAUUCUUCUGCAAAGUGAAAGACAGAGACCCAAGAGUCUGAAUUCUGAAGCCAGGCUGUCUGUGUAUAAAUCUCAACUCCCUGUCUCCCAAGUCCUUCAUCUCUGGACAAGCUGCAUAACUCUCAUUGCUUCUUUUCCCCACAUGGAAAAUGGAGAUGAUAAUGUACCCACUGCCUAGUAUUAUUUAAUAUUUCUAAUCUCCUGGUUCCCUCUCUCUUUCUCUUUCUCUCUCCUUCCUUCUUUCUUUCUUUCCUUCCUUCUCUUUUUCAAAGCAGUAUCCCCUUAAUUGCUUAAUUCCUUUUUUUUUGCUGCAUCCUUUUAUAACAAUUUUCUAAUGUACUUUAUAUUAAACUGAGCCAUAUGAAAUUGGUUCAUUGUUGAAGGGGAACAGAAUGUAUCACUUCAAAUCUGCCUCUUUGGCGAAAGGAUUAUUUUAGGCUGAAACAGAAGACACAGGAGAAGUAGACAUUAUUCUGUUAUAAAUCACAUUACAAGGGAAAUCUCCGUUUGCAAAGGCUGUCUUUCUCUCUAUGUGGGAAAGAGGGGGAUGCCUCUAAAUCUCAAGAAACUCUCAUCAGUGAAGAAGGUGAUGACUUAAGGCUUAGCAACCUUACCCUGGUCUAUUGUGUUUUUCCUGGUAGCUUCCCAUAACUGGUCUCUACCCACCAACUGGCCCCCAACCCCACCCUACAACACUUUCUUUUGAUUUUAGCUGGAGAUGAUAUUUAGGGUGGUGGGCUUAGGCCAUUUCAGGGAGUUACUCGGUUUUCCUGGGUAUCUCUCACGUAAUACAGGAGGUGUAUAUAUUAUUCAGUUUACUUUUCUCCUGUUAAUCUGUCUUUUUAUUACAGGUCAAUCUUAGCCAAGAACCUAGAAGGAUAGAGGAAAAUUAUUUUUCCUCUCCCACAAUGUUUUUUUGGGAGAGACUAUAAAAUGGGAAUACAUAGUCUUUAGGAAAGAUACAACAAACUUAAAUGAGCAGGUAAACAAAGUUUGAGUUAAGAUAAUGUUUGAGUUAAGAAUUUCUUUAUUCUUUCCAUAGAGAACUCUUUUUAUUCCCAUACUGAAGAGGACUAUGGCAGCUAUUACAUUUUACCCCUACAACUUUAUUUAAGACUUUUUUUUUUUUUACA
rnacentral:lncRNA from 1 species